rnacentral:rRNA from 1 species
CGGACGAACGCUUGCGGCGUGCCUAAGAAAUGCAAGUCGAGCGAGCUCAAGCCUUCGGGCGGAAAGCUAGCGGCGAACGGUCGAGUAACACGUGAGCAACCUGCCCCAAAGCGGGGGAUAGCCCACCGAAAGGUGGAUUAAUACCGCAUGUGGCCGUUCCGGGGCAUCCCGGGACGAUUAAAGCAGCAAUGCGCUUUGGGAUGGGCUCGCGGCCUAUCAGCUUGUUGGUGGGGUAACGGCCUACCAAGGCUACGACGGGUAGCUGGUCUGAGAGGAUGGUCAGCCGGAUUGGGACUGAGACACGGCCCAGACUCCUACGGGGGGCAGCAAUUAGGAAUCUUGCGCAAUGGGCGAAAGCCUGACGCAGCGACGCCGCGUGACCGACGAAGUCCUUCGGGAUGUAAAGGUCUUUUGCCAGGGAAGAAGAUCUGACGGUACCUGGCGAAUAAGCCCCGGCUAACUACGUG